UAAUUCUUGCAAUCACUGGAGAAAUAUCUUCAUAGCUUCAUUGGGCAUAAACAAUUGCUUUUUCAGUAUUAUGAGCAAGAUGCAUUAUUAUUGGAUGAUGAACGAUCUAGUAUGUUACCAAUGAUGGCAGCUGGCUUAAGUUCAAUUCUUUUUGCAAUUGACAUUGACAAAGCUGAGUUUAACACUAUUACUGUACAGAUUCCGGGCAAUAUCAGCCAAGCAGUUUCUCGUCCAACAUCAAUAUGGGCUGUACCAUCACCAAUGUAUGCGACGUCAGGAGCUCCUGG